AAAUAUGUGCUUGUUGUCUUUGGAGGUCUUGUUGGCUACCCCAGUGACGAUAUUAAUAAGUUCAUGUGGAUGGUCCGUAUAGGAGGUGGUGUAUUUCCUCAUAUCAAGGAACCUGAUUACCUUAGAGAUGGUCAAUAUCGGAUCAAUUCUCAGGCCACACCCACCAUGCUAAACUGCCUCAUGUACAAACUCUCCUAUUACAGGUUUGUGGAGACAGAUGGUAAAGCCUUUGA